GGCGAUGGGGAAAUAACGGUGCACGGUGGUAGGUCGGGUGGGGUCGAGCGUUGGGUAUGUGAACAAUGGGUGUGUGUUGUGCAACGGGGAAAGGGAGAAUAGGCGAAGGGGAUGUUGGAAUGGUUGGUCGUGGGGUGUGGGCACUUUUGGUGGGUGGUUCGAAUGAGGGGAAAGGGAAUAGGGGAAAUGGUGGGUAUGGGGCUGUGUCGUGAAAAGGGCGAGGGAGAGGAGAUGAUAGAGGCUGAGGGAGGGUAGUGUCUCGAAUAGGAGAGGAAGGGGGACGGAACGACGGCCGGAAAGGAGCGACGGCUAGGGUUUGUGGGUAGAAUUUGGAGAGGAGGAUGACAAACUUAGAAAAC
rnacentral:lncRNA from 1 species